UGGGGAAUAUUGCACAAUGGGCGCAAGCCUGAUGCAGCCAUGCCGCGUGUAUGAAGAAGGCCUUCGGGUUGUAAAGUACUUUCAGUCGGGAGGAAGGUGGUAAGGUUAAUAACCUUAUCAAUUGACGUUACCGACAGAAGAAGCACCGGCUAACUCCGUGCCAGCAGCCGCGGUAAUACGGAGGGUGCAAGCGUUAAUCGGAAUUACUGGGCGUAAAGCGCACGCAGGCGGUCUGUCAAGUCGGAUGUGAAAUCCCCGGGCUCAACCUGGGAACUGCAUUCGAAACUGGCAGGCUAGAGUCUUGGAGAGGGGGGUAGAAUUCCAGGUGUAGCGGUGAAAUGCGUAGAGAUCUGGAGGAAUACCGGUGGCGAAGGCGGCCCCCUGGACAAAGACUGACGCUCAGGUGCGAAAGCGUGGGGAGCAAACAGG
rnacentral:rRNA from 1 species